rnacentral:misc_RNA from 1 species
GAUGAAGAACGCAGUGAAAUGCGAUAAGUAAUGUGAAUUGCAGAAUUCAGUGAAUCAUCGAAUCUUUGAACGCACAUUGCGCCCCUUGGUAUCCCGAGGGGCAUGCCUGUUCGAGCGUCAUUUCACCACUCAAGCCUGGCUUGGUGUUGGGCGACGUCCCCUUUGGGGACGCGCCUCGAAACGCUCGGCGGCGUGGCACCGGCUUUAAGCGUAGCAGAAUCUUUCGCUUUGGAAGUCGGGGCCCCGUCUGCCGGAAGACCUACUCGCAAGGUUGACCUCGGAUCAGGCAGGGAUACCCGCUGAACUUAAGCAUAUCAAUAAGCGGAGGA